AAUACAGUAGAUUUGUUUCUUUUGUCCUACUAUUUCCUCUGAUAUCGUUGAGUCAGAAAGUUUCACAGAUCAAAUCGAAGCCAUGGGUGGCGAUGGGAUCUUGGGAGUGCGACACGUCGAAGCAACAAGAUCAGCUACGAACACAAUCAGUAGAGAGAGAAAAAAGUGGUCGAAGAGGAGAGAGAGAUGGCUGGUGGUUCUUGGGAUGGCACUACACGCUGUGUAUAUGCUCAGCAUUUUCGACAUUUACUUCAAGACCCCAAUCGUCCAUGGCAUGGACCCUGUCACCCCUCGCUUCGUUGCCCCGGCUAAGCGCCUCGUCCUAUUUGUUGGUGAUGGUUUACGGGCUGACAAGUUUUUUGAGCGGGAUGUGGAAGGAAAUUUCAGAGCACCGUUUCUAAGAAGUAUAAUCAGAGGACAAGGUCGAUGGGGAGUAUCUCAUGCUCGUCCUCCAACAGAAUCAAGGCCUGGACAUGUUGCUAUUAUUGCUGGUUUCUAUGAGGAUCCGAGUGCAGUUACCAAAGGAUGGAAGGCAAAUCCUGUGGAGUUCGAUUCAGUCUUUAACCGCAGCCGGCAUACAUUUGCAUUUGGUAGUCCAGAUAUAGUUCCAAUUUUCUGUGGUGCCUUGCCACAUAGCACCUGGAAUUCAUAUUCUCAUAAGCUUGAAGAUUUUGCAACUGAUGCAUCAUUUUUGGAUGAGUGGUCAUUUGAUCAAUUCCAGAGCCUCUUGAAUAGGUCCAACGAAGAUCCAAAAUUGAAGCAGUUACUUCUACAAGAUAAUCUCGUCGUAUUUCUACACCUACUCGGUUGUGAUUCAAAUGGUCAUGCACAUCGGCCCUAUUCAUCUAUCUAUCUUAAUAAUGUAAAGGUUGUUGACCGUAUCGCUGAAAAUGUUUAUAAUCUUCUUGAAAAUUAUUUCAAGGACAAUCGUACAGCAUAUAUUUUUACAGCUGAUCAUGGAAUGAGCGACAAAGGAAGUCAUGGAGAUGCGCAUCGUUCAAACACUGAUACUCCCCUUGUUGCUUGGGGAGCAGGUGUUAGGCAUCCCAUGCCUGUGUCCAGCAACAAGCAUUCUGAUUAUGGUGUUCGCUUUGUUGAUCAACAUAUGCAUGACAUGCCAACUCCUACAGAAUGGCAUCUCAGUGAUAUAGAAAGGCUGGAUGUUAAUCAAGCUGAUAUUGCACCACUGAUGUCAACCCUUCUUGGUUUGCCAUGUCCAUUGAACUCAGUUGGAAAUUUACCCCGUGGUUACCUCAAUUUUAAUGAGGCAGAAGAAGUUGAAGCUGUGCUAGCUAAUACAAAGCAAAUUCUUAAUCAGUUUCUUCGGAAGUCAAAACUGAAGCAGUCAAGCUCAUUUCAUUUCAAGCCUUUCAAGCCACUGGCCCAUUAUUCUUCGGUUUUGGAUCAAAUUGAGGAUCUAAUAUCUGUUAAAGACUAUGAGGCUGCGAUGAAGCUAUCAGAAAACCUUAGAAACUUGGCAUUGGAAGGACUUCACUAUUUUCAAACUUAUGAUUGGCUGAUGCUAAUGACCGUGAUUACUCUUGGCUACUUUGGUUGGAUGGUCUAUCUUGUUCUCCAUGUGCUGCAAUCUUAUACUUCCUUGCUAGGAAAUUUUUUCCGAAAUGAGGAAGCAGUUCAUCCAAGAAAUACUGGAAAGGUAUAUUUAUGUGGAUAUCUUUUAAUGGGAUUGGUUUUUUUUCUACUACUUUUGGAGCAUUCUCCUCCCCUUUAUCAUGCAUACGUUGCAAUGACGAUAUUUCUCUGGACACAAAUAUUUGGUGAAUAUCGGUUUCUAAAAGCAUUAUGGAGACAUUUACGUGGGAGAAAAUCCAAUUAUAUCCUUAAACUUGUAGGCACUUGUGCUCUUUCGAUAUUCAUUCUUGAAUUCCUGGUGAAUAGCUUUACUGAUAGAAAGCUCUACACUUGGUGUUUCUUGAUUACUGGUAUCAUCGCUUCAAGUUAUCUUUUUCAUUCAAUCCCAUGGAAAUCUGGAAUACCAAUCUUUGUGUGGGUUGUGUGUUGGUUUUUGUCCGUCUUUACUUUAAUGCCAGCUGAAAUUCCUGAUAAUACUCCAUUAGUCGUUGCAAGUGGAGCUGUGAUUGUUAUGCUAGGAGGAGUUGCAAGGUACCUGGAUCUGCAUAUUGAAAGGAACAAGUAUUGGCUUAGUCUCCUUAAUCAUGAAUCAGAGAAACCCAGGUUUCCCAUGCUCUUCCACAUGCAGGCCUUUUUGGUGGGGUUAUCAUCAGUCAUGGUACCUUUAUCAACAUCUCAUAGAAUGGAAAAGCAAGAACUGCAUGCAUUGCACCAAUUGAUAAACUGGUUCAUUGCUGGUUUCUCAAUGGUUCUCCCGCUGUUCUCAGCAACUGGCCUCUUGUCCCGACUAACUUCUAUAUUUCUUGGUUUGGCUCCCACAUUCUUACUUCUAUCAAUCGGAUAUGAAGCUGUCUUUUAUGCUGCACUUGCUCUUGCACUUAUGGCGUGGGUACUAUAUGAAAAUGCACUCCUCCAUAUAAGUAAGGUGAAAAUACCUUCGGCCAAAACUGUUGAGGAUAACAACAUUCUUGAAAACGAUGACAGAUGCCUUCAGUUGUCCCAUAUGAGAAUUCCAUUAAUCUUUAUGGUCUUAUUCAAUGUGGCAUUUUUUGGAACGGGUAAUUUCGCAAGUAUUGCAAGUUUCGAGAUUUCAUCCGUCUAUCGUUUCAUCACAAUAUUUAGUCCAUUUUUGAUGGCAGCCCUACUUAUUUUCAAAUUGUUUAUACCAUUCAUGCUAGUCAUAUGUGCAUUUAGUGCAAUAACCAAAUUAAUCGGAGUUCCACGGCUGGGAUGCUAUUUUCUCGUUAUAUUGUGUUCUGAUGUAAUGACAAUUCACUUCUUCUUCCUGGUUCAAAAUACAGGAAGCUGGAUGGAAAUUGGUAAUAGCAUCAGCCAUUUUGGAAUCAUGAGUGCCCAAGUUGUGUUCAUCCUGUUGCUUUUUGCCCUCACACAUGUAUACACGAAAGACGUCCAAACUAGAUCGGCUCAGCAGAUUUCUCGGAAAGCAAUGUGAUUCUUUAAAAUUUUGAUUAUUCCCUUUUUCCAGAAUGGCGAGGUCAUAAACUUUUGUUGCGGCUUUUUAGAAGGAACUGAACAUUAUUUUCAUCAUUUGUUAGCACGAUGCUUAGCUAACUAAGGUACUGAUUCUGGCUGACAUUUGUUUGGGACAUCAUACACGUAUAUUUUGAUCGUUCUCAAUUCUUGAUGAAAAAGAAGGUUGCGAUAGGUAACACAGCCCCCGUAGAACGUUUCAACUCGUUUGGAGGUAAAGAAAAGGGAUGUAUUAUUAUUCCUUUCCUUCCAACCUUCAAUUAAAGCACAUUGAUUGGCAUGGGUCCAUUGAUAGCAUAAGCUAGAAAACAUGAUUCAUGUAAUUGAGUUUUACCCAAUUUGUAUUGUAUAUCCUCAAGGAGUAGGUGGAUCUCUCUUUCUGUCUCUGAAUUUCACAAAACCAAUGGGAACCCAUCCUUAUCCAUUCACAAAGCUACAAAAGCCAUUGUUGCCUCACUCCAUUAGAACUCUCUCUUCAGCAAAGCUAUGUACCUUACCCCUUUCUUUCUACUUUCAUUUGCUAUGUUGGACCAUGACAAUGGUCCACCAAAACAAGUCCUCCCUUUCAUGUGAUGGAUGCAUAAUAAUCCUUCAAGCGCAAGAAAGAUGAUGUCAAAUUGUACAAAAGAAUAAGAUGUAUUAGGUCUAUGAACGUUAGUGGUUCUUGCAUGAGCAAGGGUGGGUGCAUGUGUUGGUGCACCGUCGGUCAUGUGUAUCUGCAAAAUCAAGAUUCAAACACAUUAUUUCAUUUAUACCACCGAAGCACAAGCUAAUUCCUCCAA